GAAAUGCGAUAAGUAGUGUGAAUUGCAGAAUUUAGCGAAUCAUCGAAUCUUUGAACGCACAUUGCGCCCCUUGGUAUUCCAUGGGGCAUGCCUGUUCGAGCGUCAUUUCAACCCUCAAGCACUGCUUGGUGUUGGGCGUUUGUCCCGCCUACGCGCGUGGACUCGCUUCAAAGUCAUUGGCAGCUGUUCCCCUUCGGCUCGUAAGCGCAGCACAGUCGGCGCCCGGAGCUCUGGUGGGAUGGCGUCCAGCAAGCUAUAUUUUCAGGCUUGACCUCGGAUCAGGUAGGGAUACCCGCUGAACUUAAGC
rnacentral:misc_RNA from 1 species